rnacentral:lncRNA from 1 species
AUGUGUAGAAGCAAAGGAUGGACGCUUGAUUCCAUCUAUUUUAUCUUUGAAUUAUCCAUCCAGGUAAAAUGUUGGACUCUGCACCAUUUCAUCAUUCAAAGAAUAUGGACCAAAAACGUACAGACUGUAACUGCAGCGUAUUUCAUAAAGCAAGCAGGUAUGCCUGACGGUUGGAACAAGAACUCCAUGGUGAUGGCAUGUGGAAUUCCAAACUACCCUGCUGUCCGGUCCAGGGCUGUAUGGGCAGAUCUCAGCAGAGGAAGCUUCAGUAAUGCUCCCAAACAAUACUCACAAGGACCCAGGGUGUUGCCCCCUCACACCUGGAGAUGCUUCUUGGAGACCUCAAACACGAGGCUGCAGUCUUGGAAGUCUCUGGCGGUUAGCACCAAACUGAAGCCCAGGACCGUUUGUUUAGGUAUUUUCUUCUUGAAAAAGACUUUACUGGAAGGAGCAGUCUUCUAA